GAGGAAGAGCCAGGCAAGGGUCCUGCAGGACUGUGGGGGAGGAGGCUGGGCAUCUGCUUUUUAAGCCAAGGUUCAAGCCUUGGGAUGGAACAGCCGGAGUCUGACGAGCAGUCAGGAAUUCUGUUUAAGGAGCCAAUGCCUCCAAAGGCGCUGGAGAUUGUGGAAAAGCUAACAAGCAAAUAUGGUCAGAGUCUGUCCCUGGAGAUUUAGACCAACUCCAAGACAGUGCAAGUAGCUCACUGAGCCAGGAUGACACCAUACACUCAAACCCAACUCAGAGGUCCUCUGUUCAAUUUACUUGGGAAGAAGCCAAACUUCAUUAUAACCAGCUUGAUGCCAUUACAAGAGAUUUUCAAGAAAAUAUGAUUGAAGUCAACACAUUGGAUUGAUGUUUUCGAUGGAAACCAAUCUAUCUAAGCAAAUUUAAAUUAGACGUGCAGUGUUAC
rnacentral:lncRNA from 1 species